rnacentral:tRNA from 1 species
GGGGCUGUGGCUCAGUGGUAGAGCACUCACCUAGCAUGUGGAAGGCACUGGGUUUGAUCCUCAGCACCA